rnacentral:rRNA from 1 species
GACGAACGCUGGCGGCGUGCUUAACACAUGCAAGUCGAGCGGUAAGGCCCUUUCGGGGGUACGACGAGCGGCGAACGGGUGAGUAACACGUGGGUGACCUGCCCUCAGCUCUGGGAUAAGCCUGGGAAACCGGGUCUAAUACUGGAUAUGACUCCAUGACGCAUGUUGUGGGGUGGAAAGCCUUGUGCGGCUGAGGAUGGGCCCGCGGCCUAUCAGCUUGUUGGUGGGGUGACGGCCUACCAAGGCGACGACGGGUAGCCGGCCUGAGAGGGCGACCGGCCACACUGGGACUGAGACA